CAGAUAGUGAGCAGAGCUUUCUGCGUGGCGUUACCGUGCCUCCUACAUGCCUCCUUUCAGCACGUGCCAGAGUGGUAAGGGCUUUUGCUGCUUAAGGCUAGAACCAGAUCUGGGGCAAAGUCUGUGGAAUAGCAGAGGACUUUGUACUGCAGUGGAGGGAAGUGUAGCUUGUGAAGCUUUAACAUGUUAGAUAGCCGUGCAGUCUCCACUUUCUUUUUCUAAGCUCCCUGGGACACGCGGGGGCAAGGUGGGAUCUGCCUGUCCGUAGGGGUGAUGCUCACCAGCCCUGCCUCGUCCCUGGAUGUGAUACACCGUGCUCUGUGCCGGUGCUGAGACCCUGCUCUGCAGCUCCCAGCCUGAUUCGAGAGCACAACAGUGAUGAACAGAAGGCCCCCCUGGGCAGAAGGGGCUCACUGUGAAGUUAUUGCUUGAGUGUUAGCACAGAGUUAGCAUUGUGUUACUGCAGUCUGAAGCACAGUACAAGUUACCUCUGACCUGAGCUUUUCAUUCUGGGGAGGGCAGCUUCAGAUCUGCUGUCCAGAGCAUGCAACUGUCCCUUCCUUCCCCUCCAACAUGGCACUGCCUCCAAGGCUCACAGAUGGGAGUUGAACUGGAGAGGCUGUUGCACGCUGCAACUAGCAGCAAAAGGGUUUUAUUUUUCCCCCCCGCCGCCCCUUGUCCAUGCCAGAUGAGUAUUAUUUACAGGAAGCACUUUGUGCAGCUUGGAGGUUUGUUUAGAGAGGGAGUGUAGAGGGAGGAGUCAGUUAAAAGCAUAAUGGAAAUAAAAAAGGUCGUGGUAAUGCUCGAGAAAGUCCAUAAUUUCCUGGUGUGGGAGUUUUGCUAUUCUGGGGACUGAGGGAACAGCAGAGCUCGGGCCCUGGUUCCCAGGGGGAGACGGCGUUCGGUGGGGUCAGUGAGCAGAGGAACCAGACCCGCCUUCCCUGGGAAGAGGUCAGAUCCUGCUGUGGCUGUGGGGCUGAACCCAAAUCAGCUGUCGGAGACGCAGUGGGUCCCUGGUGCGGUGUCCUGUGCUCGGAGGGACCGGAGCCAUGUCCCUUUGCAGGCUGCAGCAGCAGUGCUGGAGAAACCCUGAGCGUGCCCGCUUGGGGAACAAGCUGGAGUCCUAAUCUUCAAGAGCAGCCCCUGGGAAUCACCCGGACUUCCAGUGGGAGACUGCGGAGACUCAGUGACCAGACGAGUCCAAGUAAGUUACGUGAAUCUUUCCUUGUGAAUCUUCCUCAUCCAAUAAAAACAAACAACGAUAACAAAACAGGCUGGGAGAAUGCAAGAGGUGAUUCCAGAAAGCACAUCUCCUGCCUCCUGUGCAUUGAAUACUGGCUGCUGAUAGAUGCAGAGCUCUCUGCUGCAGGGAGAGAGCAGCAUGCGUAGAAAAGAGAACAGUAUAUAUAAAAUAACUGAAAAGAGAGAGCAAUAUAAAAUAAAAGAUUAAUUACUUACUGAAUAACGAUCCA
rnacentral:lncRNA from 1 species